rnacentral:tRNA from 1 species
GAGGGCAUGGCUCAGUGGUAGAGGGCAUGCUUAGCAUGCAUGAAGCCCCGGGUUCAAUCCUCAGUGCCUCCA